UCUACAUCCUAUUCAUUAUAUUGUGCGUUGUGCAUAAUAUAGGCUAGCCUAUAUUAGUCAAUGGUGCCCAUAUUAGCAUUUUUGCGCUUCAUGUCAAAAUCAUCCCAAAGUAUAAAAUACUUAUGACCUAGUGUUGAUUCCUUGCUCUUUCAUGUCAAGUUUUAAUGUCACAUGCACAAGUACAGUGAAAUGUCUUUCUUGCACACUCAAUGCAAUAAUCAAUAACAAUUAAUUCGUAGAAAAAAACACGAGAAAUAAGAAUAAGACAUUUGAAAUACACAAAGGAAGUAAGUAAGCAUACCAUAUACAGGAAAUAUAUAUUUUUAAGUAAGUUCCAAUACCAUAUUUGCAAUGUGCAGGGAUACUGGAGUGAUGGUGGUAGAUAUGUAUAGGGGUAAGGGGACUAGGCAACAGGAUAGAAGAUAAAAAGACUAGCCGCAACUUGUAUGUGAGUGGGUGUGCGUGCGUGCGGGUGUGUAGAGUCAUUGUAAUUGCAUGUGCAUAUUAUGUGUGAGUGAGUAAAUGGGGGAGUGAUUUUUUGUUUAGGUGUUGGAGUGACAGUGUGUGUGAAUGUGCGUAGAGAAAUGUAAAUAAAAAGGUCGAUAAAGGUGAACUCAGAUAGUCCGUGUAGCUAUUUUAUUAGCUAUUUAUCAGUCGUAUUGCUUGGGGAUAGAAGCUGUUCAAUAGCCAGUUGGUGUCAGACUUGAUGCACGGUACCUCUUGCCGUGCUGCAGCAGAGAAAAUAGUAUAUGGCUUGGGUGGUUGUAGUCUUUAACAGAAUUCCAUAUAAGUUGACCAUCAUCACUGAAGCACCAAGGCUCAGAUCACACCAAACGUCAACCUAAUAGCAACAACAACAUGAUACAACAAUGUAAUAAAUUAUAGCGACAUGAUCGACUUUACGAUGGUUAAAGGGAUACUUUGGGAUUUUGGUAAUGAGGCCCUUUAUACUACUUCCCCAUAGUUAGAUGAAAUCGUGGAUACCAUUUUUAUGUCUGCGUGCAGUUUGAAUGAUGCGCAUAUUCCUAACCAGCGUUAGCGCAAUGACUGGAAGUCUAUGAUUUUCAUUGCGCUAAUACUAGUUAGCAUUGGCUCACAAAACAUAAAUAUCACAACUCUGUUUUGGAAUAUACUGACUUCAUGACCAACAUUUUUCAAUUGACACUUUUUAGUCCAUUUUGGCACUGGAAUAAAUGUUUCUGACUAAUACUGAAGCCAAACAUUUUUGUAGAAAAGCCAACGAUACAAGCAUGAAGGCUUGCGCUCUUUUUUUUUUUUUUUUUUUUUCGUGUUGCACUGUUGAAGGUAGCUGCACUUGAUUCAGAAGCCCAGCGCACCAAGUAGGCAAACUGUUCGCAUUUUGAACAUUCAAUUUGUCUGAAAAGAACAACUCUGCCUCCCCGAUGAACUGGGAGAUCUGCUAAAUCGACUGCGUCUACUGUGCUGGACAAUCGGAUAGCUUAAAUCACCGUGCCUCCCUACAGCAUCCACGACUCCGGCCACAGCAAAGUUAGAUACAAGCCUGCAUGAGAUUUCAUAACUUUUAAAACCAUGAUCAGAGAGAGAGAGAGGUUGUCAAAGAAUACAGCAAAGUGCUGCUGUUUUUAUUGUAAUAUUUGUGUUGUGGAGAAAUGAUCAGGCAGGAGACGGGAGUACAGUUAGUUUUAGUUUAGUCAAAACCUCUCGUGCUCUACAGUUCCCCGGGCACACUAGUGCGCAUGUGCAUUUCCUAUUAGGUGUAGUAACGUGCACUGUCGUAAUACAUCACUGCUUAGUAACAGCAUAGUAACUAAUAUAAACAGAUGUAGAUCCCAGAUAUUACAUUUAUGAGUGAGUUAAUGUCAAAGUUUUAUCCAGAACUAUCAACACUGUUUUUAUUCAACGCUAUUACAAAACAUAAAACGCGCUUCUCUACUUCCAAUGAAUGAGUAGCCAAGUGUAUUGAUGUUAUUAUUGUUAGCAGCUCGUCGUGUUAGGAGUAGUUCACUUUCUCUGGUCAUAGGAAUCCGACUAGGGAAAAGUAAUCAAACUCGGAAACUCUGGCAUCUUUCUAGAGCUCCGACUUAACAACCUGAAGUUCACUGAUUUGACCUCGUUUUUCUGAAUUCCCAGUUGUCUUGAAAGCACCAUGACCAUACCAUGACCAUCAGAUGCAGGUACCAUCAGUCCUGUAAAAUAAAAAAGCGAAUUAUUUGCAAAUGAUUUCAGUUUAUGCUCAUCUGUGCCUCGCAAGUGCUACACCAACUGAUCUAUUUUGUUAUCAAAGCUUGAGUUUGGAAAUAUAAUAUGGUCUGAGAAUAACAAUAUUGGCAGUCCAGGCAUAUAGCCAAUAUGCUGUGAUAAUAUAUCAGGCCUACUGCACAAACCUCAUUCCUACAGAACUGUUUUUAUUAGGUUAAUAUUACAUGUUUUAAGUCAUGUUUAAAUAAAAAUCUGAGCGUUAGAUCUCGGCUUGCUUUUUGACUACGAAAGUGAUUUUUUGAGGGGGGUUGGGGGUAGAUCAGCUUUAAUAUUGAAUAUAGAUUGUAGCUUCCAUCAAUGUAAUUGUUUGAAUAAUUUCCAAUCCCCCAUAUCAUUUUUUUGUAAAUAUAUACAGUGCCAAGAAAAAGUAUGUGAACCUUUUGGAAUUACCUGGAUUUCUGCAUAAAUUUGACAUACAAUUUGAUCUGAUCUUCAUCUAAGUCACAAGGACUUUUCUUUAUUUGACUAUUUUCUACAUUGUAGAAUAAUUGUGAAGACAUCAAAACUAUGAAAUAACACAUACAGAAUAAUUUAGUAACCAAAAAAGUGUUAAACAAAUCAAAACAUAUUUUAUAUUUGAGAUUCUUCAAAUAGCAUCCUUUGCCUUGAUGACAGCUUUGCACACUCUUGGCAUUCUCUCAACCAGAUUCACCUGGAAUGCUUUUCCAACCGUCUUGAAAGAAGUUCCAAUAAUGCUGAGCACUUGUUGACUGCUUUUCCUUCACUCUGCGGUCCGACUCAUCCCAAACCAUCUCAAUUUGGUAGAGGUUGGGGAUUGUGGAGGCCAGGUCAUCUGAUGCAGCACUCCAUCACUUGCCUUCUUGGUCAAAUAGCCCUUACACAGGCCUCCCGGGUGGCGCAGUGAUCUAGGGCACUGCAUCGCAGUGCUAACUGCGCCACCAGAGUCUCUGGGUUCGCCCCCAGGCUCUGUCGCAGCCGGCCGCGACCGGGAGGUCCGUGGGGCGACGCACAAUUGGGCUAGCGUCGUCCGGGUUAGGGAGGGUUUGGCCGGUAGGGAUUUCCUUGUCUCAUCGCGUUCCAGCGACUCCUGUGGCGGGCUGGGCGCAGUGCGCGCUAACCAAGGGGGCCAGGUGCACGGUGUUUCCUCCGACACAUUGGUGCGGCUGGCUUCCGGGUUGGAGGCGCGCUGUGUUAAAGAAGCAGUGCGGCUUGGUUGGGUUGUGCCUCGGAGGACGCAUGGCUUUCGACCUUCGUCUCUCUCGAGCCCGCACGGGAGUUGUAGCGAUGAGACAAGAUAGUAAUUACUAGCGAUUGGAUACCACGAAAAUUAGGGAGAAAAGGGGAGAAAAUUAAAAAAAAUAAAAAAUAAGUAGCCCUUACACAGCCUGGAGGUGUGUUGGGUUAAAAACAAAUGAUAGUCCCACUAAGCCCAAACCAGAUGGGAUGGCGUAUUGCUGCAGAAUGCUGUGGUAGCCAUGUUGGUUAAGUGUGCCUUGAAUUCUAAAUAAAUCACAGACAGGGUUACCAGCAAAGCACCCCCACACCAUAACACCUCCUCCUCCAUGCUUCACUGUGGGAAACACACACAAGGAGAUCAUCCGUUCACCCACACCGCAUCUCACAAAGACACGGCUGUUAGAACGAAAAAUCUCCAAUUUGGACUCAUCAGACCAAAGGACAAUGUUCCACCGGGGUAAUGUCCAUUGCUCGUUUUUCUUGUACCAAGCAAGUUUCUUCUUCCUAUUGGUGUCCUUUAGUAGUGGUUUCUUUGCAGCAAUUCGACCAUGAAGGCCUGAUUCACGCAGUCUCCUCUGAACAGUUGAUGUUGAGAUGUGUCUGUUUGUCACGCCCUGACCAUAGAGAGCCCUUGGGGUUCUCUAUGGUGCAAUAGGUCAGUGUGACUAGGGGGUGUUCUAGUAUUGUAUUUCUAUGUUGGUGUGAGUAUGGUUCCCAAUUGGAGGCAGCUGAUGAUUGUUGCCUCUAAUUGGGGAUCAUACUUAGUGUGGUCCUUUUCCCACCUGCGUUUGUGGGAUAUUGUUUCGUUUUGGUUUAGUGCUAUGUGCACUACAAACUUCACGUUCGUUUAUUCUUUGUUGUUGUUUUGAAGGUUCACUUUAAUAAAUAUGUGGAACUCUACUCACGCUGCGCCUUGGUCCGCUCAUCAUGUAUACGACGAAUGUGACACUGGUACUUGAACUCUGUGAAGCAUUUAUUUUUGCUGCAAUCUCUGAGGCUGGUAACUCGAAUGAACUUAUCCUCUGCAGCAGAGGUAACUCAGGGUCUUCCUUUCCUCUGGCGGUUGUCACGUCUACUCCUGCUCCUCCCCUCCGGGGUUCGACGUCGCCGGUAUACUAACCACUGGUCCUGGGAUCCAUCAUUACGCACACCUGGUAUCCAUCAUUACGCGCACAUGCAGAUCAUCAUGAUAUUCACCUGGACUCCAUUACCGUCCUGAUUACCUCCCCUAUAUCUGUCACUCCCUUGGGUUCCUUCCUCAGUCAGUAUUGUUUCUGUGUUCAUGCGUAAACGCCACUGUUAUGAACAUUUGAACAUCUUGGCCAUGUUCUGUUAUAAUCUCCACCCGGCACAGCCAGAAGAGGACUGGCCAUCCCUCAUAGCCUGGUUCCUCUCUAGGAUGCUUCCUAGGUUUUGGCCUUUCUAGGGAGUUUUUCCUAGCCACCGUGCUUCUACACCUGCAUUACUUGCUGUUUGGGGUUUUAGGCUCGGUUUCUGUACAGCACUAUGAGAUAUCAGCUGAUGUAAGAAGGGUUUUAUAAAUACAUUUGAUUUGAUUUUGAUUUGAACCAGCACAACAGCCCAUUCAGCAACCUGCUUAGGUCUGCGAUGCCCGUUUAUCCAUCCCAGAUAAAUAUGACGUUACGCCAUCCAAAUGCUGUGUCUUCCUACUUCAGUGUUCCCUCUGCUUUAAACAAUGGGAGCUCCCACCACGAGAGGUCCAAGGUUGCCAUAGUUAUUUCUCUGCUGACUGGGCGGGCGUUGGAAUGGGCUACGGCCGUCUGGGAAAGAGGAGAGGAGGAGCUAGAUUCCAAUGAAGGGUUUUUGGCUCUGUUUCAAAGGUAUCUUCAAUCAUCCCCCGGAGGGCAAAGGGGGAGGGGGUCUUCUUCAAUUACAGCAGGGGACCAGAUGGAUGUUGUGUACGCGCUCACCUUCCGGACAGUAGCAGCAUCCAGUGGAUGGAAUGAGCCGGCACGUCGUAUGCUUUUCAGAAGAGGUCCUCGCGAGGAGGUCCAGAUGGAACUGGCCGAGACAACAACCUCACCUUGGAUGCACUCAUUGCGAUGGCCAUCCGUCUGGAUAACCUACUUCUGGAGCAUCGGUACUCUCAUCGCUUCUCUCCCUCCCUCAGUAAACACUCAGGAUCAGAGCCUGAACCCAUGGGGGUAGGGGUCACAUGCCUCCCCGUGGCGGAGCGCCGCAGAAGGAUACAGCUGAGGCUCUGUCUGUACUGUGGGCAAGGAGGGCACAAGCUCCAGCGGUGUCCGGCACUUCCAAAUCCACGAUCCACAAGAGCAGAGGGAUGGUCACGUGAUCUUCCACCCCCUGGUGCAGGAGUGAGUAUUCCGCCUUCAUCCCUUUCUGCUUGGCUCUUUUUGGUGUCCAUCACACUAGUUGACUGUCACUCAUGUACUGUGUCUACAGCAUUAGCGGGAAAGUUUAUUGACCAGACCCUUGCCUCCUCUCUUAACAUAAUUUCAUACCCGCUCUCCUCUCCUUUUCCAGUUCUAGUCCUCGAUAGUCGGCCUUUAGGAUCCGGAACCAUCACACACAUCACCCAACCACUCAACCUCACGUGGAGUCCAUUCAUCAGAAGAACAUCCUCUUCUUCAUUACCAGUGCCUCCCAGGGCCUCUCUUGGCUUCAAUGCCGUAACCCUACCAUCUCAUGGUCGAGGAUGAGAAUCACACUGGUCACCCGACUGCUGGAGGACCUGCUUCCCUGUACCCUGUGGUUCCACAUUGGUUGAGUUCUGUAGUUGCCCUUCAGCCCAACAUCCCGGAGGUAUAACAGGACCUGCGGAAGGUAUUCUCCAAGAUCCGCGCCACCUGUCUUCCUCCUCAUCGCCCCUGGGACUGUGCCAUCAACCUGCUUGCAGGUGCAGCACCUCCGCGCAAACGCAUCUGCCCUCUGUCGGUGGCUGAGACCCAGACCAUGUAGGAUUACAUCCAAGAGGCGCUCCAACAAGGUUUCCUCUGCACAUCCACUUCUCCUGCGUCGGCUGGUUUCUUCUUCAUGGCCAAGAAGGAUAGAGGGUUACAUUGACUACAUUGACUACAGAGGACUCAAUGAGAUUACCACAAAGUAUCGGUACCAUCUCCCGUUGGUGCCGGCAGCCAUCGAACAGGGCUGCGGGGCUGGUUCUUUACCAAACUGGACCUGCGGAGUGCUUACAAUCUCAUCUGCAUCCGGGAGGGGGAUGAGUGGAAGAUUGCGUUUAGCUUGAUGUCUGGUCACUACGAGUACUUGGUGGUGUCAUUUGGCUUAGCCAAUGCUCCGUCAGUGUUCCAGGCAUUCGUUAACGAGGUGUUCAGGGACAUGCUAGGAUGCCAGGUGGUCGUGUAUACCGAUGACAUCUUGAUCUUCUCGGCUGCCCUGGAGAAUCACAUCACAUCACUCACGUUCGAGCAGUCCAAGAAUGCCUCCCUGCUAACCAUCUCUUCGUCAAGGCUGAGAAGUGUCAAUUUCAUCAGAGGGCUGUCUCCUUAGGCUACCAAAUCAGUCUGCAGGGAGUGAGGAUGGAUGACAAGAAGGUAGAUGCAGUCAGGUCAUGGCCAGUCCCAACCACCAUAAAGGGGUUACAACGGUUUUUGGGGUUUGCCAACUUCUACCGCCGUUUCAUCAGGAACUUCAGCUCUGUCGCCGCUCCUCUCACCUCUCUCCUUAAGGGAGGCCCCCGUAGGUUGGUGUGGAGCACAGCAGCCGACAAGGCCCUUUGACUACUCAAGGGACGUUUCACCUCCGCCCCAUUGCUCAAACAUCCAGAUCCCACUAAAUAUUUUGUGAUGGAGGUGAAUGCUUCAGAGGUAGGCAUGGGGGCAGUUCUGUCUCAACAACAGGGUAACCCACAGAAGUUGUACCCAUAUGCUUUUUACUCUAAUAAAUUAUUCCCUGCAAAGAGGAAUUACGACGUCGGUGUAUGUGAGCUCCUGGCGGUGAAUUUGGCAUUAGGGCGUGGAGACACUAGCUGGAGGGCGCCAAGGAACAAUUCGUCAUUCUCACCGACCAUCGGAACCUGGAGUACAUACGGACAGCGAGGAGGCUGAAUCUGCGCCAAGCAAGGUUGGCAUGGUUCUUCAAGGUUUGACUUCACGCUGAGCUACCACCCAGGUUCCAAGAACACCAAGGCUGAUGCCCUGUCCCGCAUCUACGAUUCCGGAGAGGGUCCUGACCAGAAUGUGCCUAUAAUCCCAUCAUCCCGAGUCGUAGCUUCUUUGGUCUGGGACAUAGAUGUGGACAUCCGCCAGGGUCUGGAGAGGGAGCCCGCACCCACUAACUGUCCUUCCGAGCGCAUUUACGUUCCUACAGGGAUAAGGGACCGGCUGCUGACCUGGGAACACCCAGCUGUCGCCACUGGACAUCAAAGGGUAUUUCUCGCACUUCCCAAUCCAUCCCUGGGAAAUACUAGCGCAGGAUGUCACUUGCUAUGUCAACUCCUGUUCCGUAUGUGCCCAAACCAAAUCCCCCCGGAACACUCCAGCAGGGAAGCUCCUUCCCCUUCCUGUGUCUCAGCAUCCCUGGUCCCAUCUAUCCUUUGACUUUGUUACUGAUCUCCCCUCCUCUGACAGUUUCAUCAUCAUUUUGGUGUUUGGGGAUAGAUUUUCCAAAUCCAAUUGUUUAAUCUCUCUUUUUUUACUUUUUUUUUACCCCCUUUAAUCCCCAAUUUUCGUGGUAUCCAAUCGCUAGUAAUUAUCUUGUCUCAUCGCUACAACUCCCGUACGGGCUUGGGAGAGACGAAGGUCGAAAGCCAUGCGUCCUCCGAAGCACAACCCAACCAAGCCGCACUGCUUCUUAACACAGCGCGCCUCCAACCCGGAAGCCAGCCGCACCAAUGUGUCGGAGGAAACACCGUUCACCUGGCCCCCUUGGUUAGCGUGCACUGCGCCCGGCCUGCCACAGGAGUCGCUGGAGCGCGAUGAGACAAGGAUAUCCCUACCGGCCAGACCCUCCCUAACCCGGACGACGCUAGGCCAAUUGUGCGUCGCCCCACGGACCUCCCGGUCGCGGCCAGCUGCGACAGAGCCUUGGUGCGAACCCAGAGACUCUGGUGGCACAGCUAGCGCUGCGAUGCAGUGCCCUAGACCACUGCGCCACCCGGGAGGCCCUUAAUCUCUCUUUUUAAUCUCUCUUUCUCUCUUUCUGGUCUCCCUACUCCCUACCUGACUCCCUACCUCCCUACUCCCUACCCGACCUUCUUCAGCAGGUCUUCCGGCAUUAUGGCUUUCCGGAGGACAUUGUCUCCGACCGUGGACCCCAGUUCACAUCAUGGGAAUGGAAAGCGAUAAAUGAGGGAAGGAGCCCCUCAGACACCCCUACUGGCUUUGGGCUAAGCCCUGAAUGUCUUCAAAUCCUAGAAACGCUUUGGUCUUUUGACCAAUCACAUCAGAUCUUUUCACAUUAGAUCUUUUUCAGAACUGAUCUGAUUGUCAAAAGAUCAAUUAGUGAAAAAAAUAUCAGAAUUGGGCUGCCUGUCUAAACACAGCCAUGGUAGCGUAGCUGGAAGAUCAGAACGCCGUGAACCAAGAGGAUGUGGGUGGUACCGGAAGAAAAGAUGGCGGAAAUGGAUGCUGAGUUCUAAUCAAGCAGCGCGUCGAGUGAAGUUGGUGAAGACGAAUGUUCUGAAUGGACAACAGUAGUAGCGAAAGCUGGAACAAAAAGGAAUUUGGAGUGAAGGAUACGUGUAUGAAUGAUAAUGAAUCUCUUCUUGUUGGGGUGCGUUUGUUGAGUAAGGAUACAUAUAUGGGAAACCCGUUUGAGGUGUCGAAAUGGUGAAGUAUGCGCUGGGGAAAUUGGAGUCUGUCAGAGUGACCAGGAGUGGUCUUAUUUAGAUUCAUUUAUAUUUCUGAAGAACAGAGGAAGAUUGCAGUGAGCCUCAAAAGAAUCAGAACAAAAUAAGUUUGGUGUUUUGAACUUCGGAGUAGAGCACCCGUCAAAGUAGUCAUCUCAGGGGCGACGACGGAUUUUCAGGUUGAAUACCUGAAGAGAUUUCCUGGUGUGGUUGGUGCCCGGUGUCUGACCCGAUUGGUGAAUGGAUAAAAAUAAUAAAGUCUGUCAGACCUGUUAUUUUUUGACAAAGAGCAAAUACCUACACAAGAGCUUUCGUCCCCAAACUACUGCAGUGUAAGAACUGUAAAGGAUUUGGCCAUGUUUCUAAUGUGUGCAGACAGACAGAGUAUAUUGAAGAACGGUGUGUAAAACGACGACGGUGUUGCAAUUAUGGUGGGGAUCAUGAUCCCGAGGUCCUGGAGUGGCCUGUAAAGGUGAAGGAGAUUGAGGUGGCAAAAGUUAGAGCAGUCAAUCGAAUCUCCUAUGCGAUUUAAAAUAAUUUAGGAAACAAGUGAUGCUAGUGAAGAUAUGGUAGUGGACGCACCACAGCCUGUAGUAAAUGUUUGCUGCCAGUCAAAAGAUACCAUGUGUCAAAAAGGUGGGUUUUGUGGCUUUUAUUGCCACAGUUAUAAACUGUACGGCACAAGUCUCAUAGAAGUCUAAGAAACUGAACAUUAUUGUGGUUGCGGCAGAAAAGUUUUGGGGAUUUAAGGAUUUUACAUCUAAAUACAAGGGGUACUGGCAUUGGAAGACCUGCCCUCCAAGGUUCCCCUUGAGCCUGCGUAGGGAUCAGAUCUUAUUUUAUAUUUAAAAAUAGUUGUUUGAUUUAGUUUAGUAUUGUAUUUUGGGGUGGUUUGGUAAAUCCUGUUUUCAUCUCGCACAGUAGGUGAAUAAUAAUUACUGUAUAAAUGAACAUGCACAAUGUAAUCAUGUAUGUCAAAGUGUGUCAAAUAUGUAAGUUGAAAACACUAAUGUUAAAAGCACUGUGUGUCACGCCCUGACCUUAGAGAUCCUUUUUAUGUCUCUAUUUUGGUUUGGUCAGGGUGUGAGUUGGGGUGGUCAUUCUAUGUUUUGUUUUUCUAUGAUUUUCUAUUUCUAUGUUUUGGCUGGGUAUGGUUCUCAAUCAGGGACAGCUGUCUAUCGUUGUCUCUGACUGGGAACCAUACUUAGGUAGCCUUUUUCCCCACCUGUCUUUGUGGGAAGUUGACUUUGUUUAGGGCACAUAGGCUUUUGAGCUUCACGUUUUGUAUUGUUUAUUGUUUUGUGGGCGUCAUUUCGAAUAAAAGACAAAAUGUACGCUCA